AUGAAUGGUGUAUUAACUAAAGGUGGAAAAAGAUACUUCAUGACACUGAUAGAUGAUUCUACUAGAUAUUGUUGUGUAUAUCUUUUAAACACUAAAGAUGAUACUCUACACUACUUUAAAAUCUAUAAGGCAGAAGUUGAGAAUCAACUUGAAAAGAAAAUAAAACGAGUUCGGUCAGAUCGUGGUGGAGAGUAUUUCUCUAAUGAGUUUGAUUCUUUCUGUGCGGAACACGGUAUUAUUCAUGAGAGGACGCCUCCCUAUUCACCUCAGUCAAAUGGGGUUGCCGAGUGGAAAAACCGUACUCUAACUGAUUUGGUUAACGCCAUGUUAGAUACAUCGGGUUUAUCCAAGGCAUGGUGGGGGGACGCUAUAUUGACGGCAUGUCAUGUCCUGAAUAAAGUUCCGACAAAGGAUAAUGAGAUCACUCCCUAUGAGAAAUGGGCGAAGAGAAGGACAACACUUUCGUACUUGCGUACGUGGGGCUGUUUGGCGAAAGUCAAUGUGCCGAUCCCCAAAAAGCGUAAGCUUGGACCCAAGGCUGUGGACUGCGUUAAUUUGGGCUACACUAAGAACAACGUUGGCUAUAGAUUUCUAGUAGUGAAAUCUGAGGUACCUGACCAGAAGGUUGGUACAAUUAUGGAGUCUAAGGAUGCUACAUUCCUUGAGGAUAUUUUUCAUAUGAGAGAUAUGCAAAGCACUUCUAGACAGGAAUCUGAGGAGACUCCUGAGCCUGCCAUUCCUAUGGAUUAUUAUGAACAAACACAUGAUGAAAAUCCUAAAGAGGUAGACGAGGAAACCCUUGGUAGGGGCAAGAGACAAAGGACUGCAAAGACCUUUGGUGAUGAUUUCAUCGUGUACCUCGUGGAUGAUACUCCCACUUCUAUUUCAGAAGCGUAUGCCUCUCCAGAAGCUGACUACUGGAAGGAUGCGGUCCGUAGUGAGAUGGAUUCCAUCAUGGCUAAUGGGACAUGGGAGAUCACUGAGUGUCCCUAUGGUUGCAAACCAUUAGGAUGUAAGUGGGUGUUCAAAAAGAAGUUUAGGCCCGAUGGUACGAUUGAAAAAUACAAGGCUAGGCUUGUGGCCAAGGGCUAUGACCAGAAAGAAGAGGAAGAUUUUUUCGACACUUAUUCACCUGUGGCUAGACUGACCACCAUUCGAGUAUUACUCUCGUUGGCGGCCUCGCAUGGUCUUCUCGUCCACCAGAUGGAUGUUAAGACGGCUUUUCUGAAUGGAGAGUUAAAUGAGGAAAUCUACUUGCAACAGCCAGAUGGCUUUGUGAUAGAUGGUCAGGAAAGAAAGGUGUGUAGGCUGCUGAAAUCUUUAUAUGGCCUGAAGCAAGCACCUAAGCAAUGGCAUGAUAAGUUUAAUACAACUCUGACAUCUGUUGGUUUCGUUGUUAAUGAGGCUGACAAAUGUGUAUACUAUCGCCAUGGUGGGGGCGAAGGAGUUAUACUGUGCUUGUAUGUUGAUGACAUAUUGAUAUUCGGAACCAACCUCAAAGUCAUUGAGGAGGUCAAGUCGUUUCUGUCUCAGAACUUUGAGAUGAAAGACCUUGGUGUGGCUGAUGUUAUCUUGAACAUCAAGCUACUGAGGGAUAAUGAGGGUGGUAUUACACUUCUGCAAUCCCACUAUGUUGAGAAGGUGUUCAUUUUGGAUAUUCGGACUGCACACCAUCUCAAACACCAUAUGAUCCUAGCGUGUUGA
rnacentral:rRNA from 1 species